GAUGAACGCUGGCGGCGUGCCUAAUACAUGCAAGUCGAGCGAACGGACGAGAAGCUUGCUUCUCUGAUGUUAGCGGCGGACGGGUGAGUAACACGUGGAUAACCUACCUAUAAGACUGGGAUAACUUCGGGAAACCGGAGCUAAUACCGGAUAAUAUUUUGAACCGCAUGGUUCAAAAGUGAAAGACGGUCUUGCUGUCACUUAUAGAUGGAUCCGCGCUGCAUUAGCUAGUUGGUAAGGUAACGGCUUACCAAGGCAACGAUGCAUAGCCGACCUGAGAGGGUGAUCGGCCACACUGGAACUGAGACACGGUCCAGACUCCUACGGGAGGCAGCAGUAGGGAAUCUUCCGCAAUGGGCGAAAGCCUGACGGAGCAGCGCCGCGUGAGUGAUGAAGGUCUUCGGAUCGUAAAACUCUGUUAUUAGGGAAGAACAUAUGUGUAAGGAACUGUGCACAUCUUGACGGUACCUAAUCAGAAAGCCACGGCUAACUACGUG
rnacentral:rRNA from 1 species